AUCCCCGAGCCGAGCCGUAAGGUCCUUAAGUGAGUAACUUUGCCCUGGAGGAAAGUGGAUUCUACGAAGGGAGUUAAGAACAGACACUGAGUCCCAGCAACUCUGGAGGCUGAGGCGGGAGCAUCGCUUGAGCCCAGGAGUUCGAGGCAGCCGUGAGCCGUAAUCGUGUCGCGCCACUGUACUCAAGCCUCCAGACCGGGCGACAGAGCAAGACCCCGAGACCCCUCCCAUUAAAAAAAAAUGAACACUGUACGAAACGCUGCGGUUUCAGAGCUGGAAGAGACCUCAGACAUUCAAUCCCUUUUCCCAAAAUUCACUGGAAGAGCUCGAGGAAAACUUUCCCUUGCAGCUGUCUCAGUCUUUACAGUGCUUAGUUACGAAGACAGUCUUAACAGUCCCAUCUUUCGCCCUGUAAUUCAAGUAUCUCUGUAGAAGCUAUUAAUGUUUCACCUACCA
rnacentral:lncRNA from 1 species